UCCCACAAAGGAGGAUGUCCAUC
rnacentral:piRNA from 1 species